rnacentral:piRNA from 1 species
GACUGUUGAUAUACUCUUCCCCGUUCCUC